AAAUUGAAGAGUUUGAUCAUGGCUCAGAUUGAACGCUGGCGGCAGGCCUAACACAUGCAAGUCGAACGGUAACAGGAAGCAGCUUGCUGCUUUGCUGACGAGUGGCGGACGGGUGAGUAAUGUCUGGGAAACUGCCUGAUGGAGGGGGAUAACUACUGGAAACGGUAGCUAAUACCGCAUAACGUCGCAAGACCAAAGAGGGGGACCUUCGGGCCUCUUGCCAUCGGAUGUGCCCAGAUGGGAUUAGCUAGUAGGUGGGGUAAC
rnacentral:rRNA from 1 species